GAUGAAGAACGCAGCGAAAUGCGAUAAGUAAUGUGAAUUGCAGAAUUCAGUGAAUCAUCGAAUCUUUGAACGCACAUUGCGCCCCUUGGUAUUCCGAGGGGCAUGCCUGUUCGAGCGUCAUUAUAACCCCUCAAGCUCAGCUUGGUGUUGGGGCCUGCUGCACUGGCAGCCCUUAAAAUCAGUGGCGGCGCCAUCUGGCUCUAAGCGUAGUAAUUCUUCUCGCUAUGGAGUCCUGGUGGAUGCUUGCCAUCAACCCCCAAUUUUUCUAUGGUUGACCUCGGAUCAGGUAGGGAUACCCGCUGAACUUAAGCAUAUCAUAACGGAGGA
rnacentral:misc_RNA from 1 species